rnacentral:ncRNA from 2 species
GAAAAAAAGCAGGGGAGCCGGUUUGGCUGAGAGGAUGCCGCUUUGCAUCGACCCUUCACCUGAUCUGGAUAAUGCCAGCGUAGGGAGUCUCAUAUUGAAGCAU